CUGACCUUGUCGCCCCACUUCCCUUGACCGUGACCUCACACCUUCGCGCUGGGUGAUGGGUUUCCCUCCCAUCCACAUAUACAUCGAACAUUAAGAGAGUCGAGCUCAAGCCAUUGUGAUUU